GCAAGCGUUAAUCGGAAUUACUGGGCGUAAAGCGCACGUAGGCGGUUUGUUAAGUCAGAUGUGAAAUCCCCGAGCUCAACCUGGGAACUGCAUUUGAAACUGGCGAGCUAGAGUCUGGUAGAGGGGGGUAGAAUUUCAGGUGUAGCGGUGAAAUGCGUAGAGAUAUGGAGGAACACCGGUGGCGAAGGCGGCCCCCUGGACAAAGACUGACGCUCAGGUGCGAAAGCGUGGGGAGCAA
rnacentral:rRNA from 1 species